UGGAGGGUUAAAAAAAUAUAAUUUCUAGAUUGAGUAAUGUAUAGGGGGAGGAAAGUAGAGAACGUACAACUGGAACUUGACGCAGCUAGCUGGGAACAAGCGUCAGUUUCGGUAAACAGCUCCAUGCUAUUGUUUUAACCAAAUCAAGUGUGGAUCAGGGUAGAAGCGUAAGUAUGAUUUAAGAUAGUAACUAAGGAAUAGGAUAAUCAGUAUCUAGGGGUGGGGGUUAGUUAACAUGUGUAUAAUUUAAACUAUAAAAAUCACGAAUCGACUCUGUAUGCUUUGGACAUCAGAUUUGGGUGUAUUAUCACCCCGGUGUCCCGCGCGCUGGAAUAAAGAACCGCAUAUGAUCGCCUCUGUGUGGUUAUAUGUUUUCCUACGCUAACAUUUUUGGCGACCCAGAUGGGACCUUGUGGGCGCAGCCAGGACCCCGCGACCCGAUCACGCUCCAGCCGGCACCGGGUGAUUUCUCGGGGAGCCCAUCGGCGCCGCGACCCUCGCCGCUCACAACGACCCCUGGUGAGAGUUCUCUAUCCUCAGGUUCUGGGAUCUUUGCCAUGGAGGUGGCCGCUGAAAGUCUGCUGAGCUGCCUCAGGUGCAUUGGACUGAUCCUGAAACCUUGUGCAUCCUGUGCCACCCUAGUGCCACCCAUCACAGAAGCCUCUUCGAGAUCUGAUUGACAUGGACACGGACUGGCAUCCUCUCUUUUCCUAUAUGGCCUCCAUAGAGACUUUGGAUCCUGUGGAGCUGCUGGACAAGGACAGACUGAAGCAGUGUGAUGCUGAGAGCCAGCGGACUGUUAAUCAUGGACUCAGAGGAAUUGUUUGCUACGGCUCAGUUUUAUGUAUGGUAGCCAUUGUGACCUCUGUGGGGAAAGUGCACGUUGUUUGGGGGUUGUGGUUUUGGGACAGAACUUUUGAGGUUCAGAAUUUUCAAAUGAGUGGAAAGAUUUUUCUUGGAAUGCUCCUGCCUUUUGCACCGUAUAUUCCCUUGUAUCUUAUAAAAAUUUAAAAAUAUGAGGGUGUUGGUUGAAUUAUGUUAGACUAUGCUCGAGAUAUUUUUGAGCAGGUUAUUGCAAGGGGUUCAGGGUGAAACCCUGGGUAGCAAAGGCAGAAUCAGACCAACAUGUAGCCCUCACACCGUCACCUAAAUGAAGGUCGGUGAACUUUAUACAGGUUUUUUUUUCUUUCUUUUUUCCUGUCAUAGAAUUGUUCAUUUUUCUUUUUCUGUUUUCUUUUUAAUAUACUUAAAAGGGUGAGAUGUUGCCAUGAAUUUUCCUGGUUUGCUAAGCGUUCAUAUUAAAGGAGAAACGUGCAGUUUCUCACGCUGGUGAAUUGUAAA